CACGAACCGUACGAACGUUACUCGGAAUUACUGGGCUUAAAGGGUGCGUAGGCGGCUUGGUAAGUUGGGUGUGAAAGCCCUCGGCUCAACCGAGGAAUUGCGCUCAAAACUGCCGAGCUUGAGGGAGACAGAGGUGAGCGGAACUUAGGGUGGAGCGGUGAAAUGCGUUGAUAUCCUAAGGAACACCAGGGGCGAAAGCGGCUCACUGGGUCUCUUCUGACGCUGAGGCACGAAAGCUGGGGGAGCGAACGGG
rnacentral:rRNA from 1 species